rnacentral:rRNA from 1 species
GACGAACGCUGGCGGCGUGCUUAACACAUGCAAGUCGAACGCUGAAGCACCAGCUUGCUGGUGUGGAUGAGUGGCGAACGGGUGAGUAAUACGUGAGUAACCUGCCCUUGACUCUGGGAUAAGCCCGGGAAACUGGGUCUAAUACUGGAUGCUACAUGUCACCGCAUGGUGGCGUGUGGAAAGGGUUUACUGGUCUUGGAUGGGCUCACGGCCUAUCAGCUUGUUGGUGAGGUAAUGGCUCACCAAGGCGACGACGGGUAGCCGGCCUGAGAGGGUGACCGGCCACACUGGGACUGAGACACGGCCCAGACUCCUACGGGAGGCAGCAGUGGGGAAUAUUGCACAAUGGGCGAAAGCCUGAUGCAGCGGCGCCGCGUGAGGGAUGACGGCCUUCGGGUUGUAAACCUCUUUCAGCAGGGAAGAAGCCACAAGUGACGGUACCUGCAGAAGAAGCGCCGGCUAACUACGUG